AUUGAACGCUGGCGGCAGGCCUAACACAUGCAAGUCGAACGAGUGGCGGACGGGUGAGUAAUGUCUGGGAAACUGCCUGAUGGAGGGGGAUAACUACUGGAAACGGUGGCUAAUACCGCAUACCAUCGGAUGUGCCCAGAUGGGAUUAGCUAGUGGUUGGGGUAACGGCUCACCUUGGCGACGAUCCCUAGCUGGGCUGAGAGGAUGACGAGCAAAACUGGAAUGGAGACACGGUCCAGACUCCUACGGGAGGCAGCAGUGGGGAAUAUUGCACAAUGGGCGAAAGCCUGAUGCAGCAAUGCCGCGUGUAUGAAGAAGGCCUUCGGGUUGUAAAGUACGUUCAGCGGGGAGGCGUUACCCGCAGAAGAAGCACCGGCUAACUCCGUGCCAGCAGCCGCGGUAAUAC
rnacentral:rRNA from 1 species